rnacentral:misc_RNA from 1 species
GUUUCUGGUACAAGUCCAAGCAUGAUUUGAAUGGAAAAGAUGGUUUGUUGUCUUUGAUUCGGAAGUUCCCUGAGGGCCUUGCUGUUGUUGAUGUCAGAGAUUCAUAUCCAACUGUUCUGGAUGACCUUCAGGCAUUGAAAACUGCUGGUCAAGUUUGGCUUCUGUCGAACAUGGACUCACAGGAGGACAUUGUAUACCCAAAUGAUCCAAAGAUAACCAUAAAGGU